GAUGAACGCUAGCGGAAGGCCUAAUACAUGCAAGUCGAACGGGCAUAUUGAUUUCGGUUGAUAUGUUAGUGGCGCACGGGUGAGUAACGCGUACACAACCUGCCUUAUAUUGGGGGAUAGCCCUGGGAAACUGGGAGUAAUACCGCAUAAUAUUAUUGAGAGGCAUCUUUUGGAAUUAAAGCUGAGGCGAUAUAAGAUGGGUGUGCGUCUGAUUAGGUAGUUGGUAGGGUAACGGCCUACCAAGCCGACGAUCAGUAGGGGGUNUGAGAGCAUGGCCCCCCANACGGGUACUGAGACACGGACCCGA
rnacentral:rRNA from 1 species